UACGGAGGGUGCGAGCGUUGUCCGGAAUCACUGGGCGUAAAGGGCGCGUAGGCGGCGCGGAUAGUCGGCGGUGAAAGCCCGGAGCUCAACUCCGGGUCGGCCGUCGAUACUUCCGGGCUUGAGCACUGUAGAGGCAGAUGGAAUUCCGGGUGUAGCGGUGGAAUGCGUAGAGAUCCGGAAGAACACCGGUGGCGAAGACGGUCUGCUGGGCAGUUGCUGACGCUGAUGCGCGACAGCGUGGGGAGCAAACAGG
rnacentral:rRNA from 1 species